GAGAUCCCAGAUGAUCCACCAUUGUCUGGCCAUGAUAGUGAUGAAGGCGGACAGACUGGAUGGAGUUUCUCGACAAAGCAGUGGACCCCAAAGCCACUAGGAAAGAUUGUAAUGGGGAUAAUUCUGUCGUACGGGCAGGAAGAACCACUCUGCAAGAUACAACUGAUUUAUUUUAUUUUAUACUUCUCUUUGUACAUUCAUUUUUUUUUCCUUUUUGUAUGUAAUCAAUUUCACACACUGCCCUUCUUCUCAUGUGCUCCAGCAAGGUUUCAACAAUUGUCCAGUGAAUCCAAGAAGUUGUCUAUGAAUGUUGAGCAUAUAAUCGCCCAAGUUUCACAGGCGGUGAACAUGAACAUGGCCCAGAGGAAAACUCCCUGCUCAAAGAAUUUGAUGGGAACAACCCCGUGA
rnacentral:lncRNA from 1 species